rnacentral:misc_RNA from 1 species
AUCUCACAACCAAAAACACGACCUAUAAUACUAAAUCCUAAACACUAAACAAAAACAACUCUACUAUCUAUAAACGUUUACCAAAAUAUCAAAAUACUAACACAACCUUUCUAAACUCUAAAAAUACAAACGUCCUCCCAACACACUAUAUCUUCUUUAAAAAACCCUCCUCACAACUUAAUAUUAUCUCCUUAUAAAUUUCAACUAUAAUCCCAAAAACCAACA